rnacentral:misc_RNA from 1 species
UUUCCGUAGGUGAACCUGCGGAAGGAUCAUUCAUAAUAAAGUGUUUUAUGGCACUUUUUAAAAAUCCAUAUCCACCUUGUGUGCAAUGUUAGAUCUCGUCAAUCUUGGCGAGAUUUUUAUACAUCAACUCAUUUUUUAACUAAUUUGUCUGAAAAAUAUUAUGAAUACUUAAUUCAAAAUACAACUUUCAGCAACGGAUCUCUUGGCUCUC